GCCAUCAUGGUUUAGUGGUUUGAAUGUGGGACUAUGACUCUGGAGAACAGGGUUUGAAUCUCCUUGGGCA